rnacentral:rRNA from 1 species
CUACACUUGACAUCCCUUGCAUUACUCUUAAUCGAGGAAAUCCCUUCGGGGACAAGGUGACAGGUGGUGCAUGGUUGUCGUCAGCUCGUGUCGUGAGAUGUUGGGUUAAGUCCCGCAACGAGCGCAACCCUUGUCGUUAGUUACUACCAUUAAGUUGAGGACUCUAGCGAGACUGCCUGGGUUAACCAGGAGGAAGGUGGGGAUGACGUCAAAUCAUCAUGCCCCUUAUGUGUAGGGCUACACACGUGCUACAAUGGCUGGUACAGAGAGAUGCAAUACCGCGAGGUGGAGCCAAACUUAAAAACCAGUCUCAGUUCGGAUUGUAGGCUGAAACUCG